rnacentral:snRNA from 1 species
AUACUUACCUGGCGCGGGGGAUACCGGCGUGAUCAAGAAGGCGGUGCCUCCAGGACGAGGCCUGUACAUUGCAACUCCGUAUGGGCUGACUCCUGCGACUACCCCAAAUCGGGGUGCUCGAGCGCAUAAUUAUUUUGGUAAGUGGGGGACAAGCGUUCGCGCUGUCCCUUU